ACACAUGUUAAAUUAAGACAUUCUCUCAACCAACUCUAUGAGGUAGUCACUCUUGGCAUUCUCUCAGCCAGCUCCAUGAGGUAGUCACUCUUGGCAUUCUCUCAGCCAGUUCCAUGAGGUAGUCACCCUUGGCAUUCUCUCAGCCAGCUCUAUGAGGUAGUCACUCUUGGCAUUCUCUCAGCCAACUUCAUGAGGUAGUCACUCUUGGCAUUCUCUCAGCCAACUUCAUGAGGUAGUCACUCUUGGCAUUCUCUCAGCCAGCUCUAUGAGGUAGUCACUCUUGGCAUUCUCUCAGCCAGCUUCAUGGGGUAGUCACUCUUGGCAUUCUCUCACCCAGCUCUAUGAGGUAGUCACUCUUGGCAUUCUCUCAGCCAGCUUCAUGAGGUAGUCACUCUUGGCAUUCUCUCAGCCAGCUCUAUGAGGUAGUCACUCUUGGCAUUCUCUCAGCCAGCUCUAUGAGGUAGUCUCUCUUGGCAAGACUUUGGCAAAAGAAAAGUAGAGCAAAAGUUGUAAAUUAUCACUGGUUUCUUGUCGGAGAGCGAUUAGUUCAUGAUGAUGUGUUAAUAGUGAUGAGUUAAUGAUGAUGUAUUGAUGAUAAUGUGUUAAUAGUGAUGUGUAGUUAAUAGUGAUGAGUUAAUGAUGAUGUGUUAAUGAUGAUGAGUUAAUCGUGAUGAGUUAAUCGUGAUGUGUUAAUGAUGAUUUGUUAAUGAUGAUGACUUAAUAGUGAUGUGUUAAUGAGGAUGUGUUAAUGAUGAUGUGUUAAUGAUGAUGUGCUAAUAGUGGUGUGUUAAUGACUAUAUGUUAAUAGUGGUGUGUUAAUGAUGAUGUGUUAAUGAUGAUGAGUUAAUAGUGAUGUGAUAAUGAUGAUGUGUUAAUAGUGGUGUGUUAAUGAUGACGUGUUAAUGAUGGUGUUAAUAGUUAUGUGAUAAUGAUGUAUCAAUGAUGAUGUGUUAAUAGUGCUGUGUUUAUGAUGUGUUAAUGAUGAUGUGUUAAUAGUGAUGUGUUAAUGGUGAUGUGUUAAUGAUGAUGCGC
ensembl:lncRNA